CGCUAUGAAAACAAUAACUUUAUCAAAUGUUUACAGAACAAGCGGAAACCCAGUGUGCCUGAAUCUUUCUCUAUUGCUGUUCAUUUACAUGAUAGAAAAUCUAAGGCCUUCAACAGCCGUACAGCAAACCCAUCUAAUCUGGUGCCCAUUACACGCCAAACUAAGACUGCUGUGAGGACAAAAAGUAAGACUAUAAAGUUAGCACUUUUAAACAUCCGCUCCAUUAAAAAUAAAUCACUUCUAGUCAAUGACUUAAUAACCACACACAACCUGGACUUCAUGUUUCUAACUGAAACUUGGCUAGAAGACAGCUGUAGUGCAACGGUCCUAAACGAAACAUCCCCUCCAAAUUUUACUUAUAUGAGUGUCUGCAGAGCGGGUAAGAGAGGUGGCGGCUUAGCUGCUCUUUUUAAAGAUGUUUAUCAAUGUAAGCAAAUAUCAUUUGGGAAUUACCCCUCUUUCGAAUAUCUGGGUAUUGUGUUAAAAGGUGCUCCACGUAUUUUAC